CAAUCGGCUCGUUCAGGUUUACUAAGUUCUGAGCAGGGCUAGGUUUAUCUUUCAAUAAGUUAAUGUUGGACACACUUGCUUGCGCUGCAUGAAGCUUAAGCGUACUAUACAUUUUCUGUACUAUAGAUGUACUAAACAAAAGUAAAUAAAUAUAUAGUUCACUUUUGUUUGUUUAUACUGCGAAAAAAUAAAUACAAAAAAAUUAAUCAAUUUAAAAAAAAAAAUUAAUAUAAAAAAAUGGAUAAUUUUAUGGUGACCUGCAAGUACAACUGGAAAAACCAGUGUUAUGCAAUAUUACAGAAACUAAGGACUUUCAUGAAAAAAUAAAAAAAGAUUGCUCCUUUGCAAAAAAAUUAUUUGACAAGUUAGAAAACCAAAAAUUAGAUUCUAAAGGUAACACAAUAGAAGUGUCAGACAAUAAUAGUAAAGAUCAAGAGGAAUAUGUUGAGGAGGAGCAUAUUGAGGAGGAGCAUGUUGAGGAGGAGCAUAUUGAAAGGGAGCAUGUUGAAGAGGAGCAUAUUAAAAAGGAGCAUGUUGAAGAGGAGCAUAUUGAAAAGGAGCAUGUUGAGGAGGACCAUGUUACGGAUGGUGCUGAAGAUGAGGGUACUGAAUUCUGCAGCAAGAGAAAAAGGAUUGAUAAAAGUAAAACCGUCAAAGGGGAUGACAGCAGGGGAAAGAAAAUGAAAGCAAGCAAAACCAACGAAGUACUGAUCAAAACUUUUCGAGUAAAUCUUCAUCUAAUCAACCUCCAUCUAGUAGAUCUUCACCACAACCAUCUUGUUCUUCUGAAAAUAUUACUAAUCGUAGUAUCCUGUCAACAUCAAAAACUGAAAAAAACAGCUCUUAUUAUCGUCAAAAGAAAGCUUUGAUUGAGAUUGGUUUUGAGCGAAAUGACAUUUUAAAAGAACAUGUUUCUUCUCAAGCAAAUUUUCAUGAUCUGUACAAAGAAGGUUUCUCUGUUUUAAGAGAAUUUAACAACACAAUGAAAGAGCGAAAUGAACUCCUGC